GGCCAUCACAAAGUUCUACAGGCUUCUCCCACCAUCAUCAGGCAUUAGCUCUGGGUCUGCAGAGCUUCCAGAACCUUGGAAUUCUGCCCCGCAGGCUGGUGUUGGAAACUUGCCCAUCUCCUGGCGGAUCUGACGCAGGCGGGCUAACUGCUUUACGUGGUGAAGACGGCCUUUGGGGUGACUGACCACUGGGUUGGAUGUUGCCCCAGGUGUGGUUCCUGUGGAAGCGCCGCCGCCAUUACCGCCGGAAUCAGCCAGAGAACAGAGGAAGGCAACGGGGGAACGUGUCAUUGUGAUCACAUCAGGCUCUGGAUCUGCUCAGGUCAGCGGCGCCUUCAG
rnacentral:lncRNA from 1 species